rnacentral:rRNA from 1 species
AUUGAACGCUGGCGGCAGGCCUAACACAUGCAAGUCGAACGGCAGCACAGGAAGAGCUUGGCUCUUUGGGUGGCGAGUGGCGGACGGGUGAGUAACACGUAGGAAUCUACCCGAGUAGUGGGGAUAACCUGGGGAAACCCAGGCUAAUACCGCAUACGCCCUGAGGGGGAAAGCGGGGGAUCUUCGGACCUCGCGCUAUUGGAUGAGCCUGCGUCGGAUUAGCUAGUUGGUGGGUAAGGGCUCACCAAGGCGACGAUCCGUAGCUGGUCUGAGAGGAUGACCAGUCACACCGGAACUGAGACACGGUCCGGACUCCUACGGGAGGCAGCAGUGGGGAAUAUUGGACAAUGGGCGCAAGCCUGAUCCAGCCAUGCCGCGUGGGUGAAGAAGGCC